rnacentral:misc_RNA from 1 species
GAUGAAGAACGCAGCGAAAUGCGAUAAGUAGUGUGAAUUGCAGAAUUACCUGAAUCAUCGAAUCUUUGAACGCACAUUGCGCCCGUCAGUAUUCUGGCGGGCAUGCCUGUUCGAGCGUCAUUACGCCCCUCAAGUCCCCUGUGGACUUGGUGUUGGGGAUCGGCGAGGCUGGUUUUCCAGCACAGCCGUCCCUUAAAUUAAUUGGCGGUCUCGCCGUGGCCCUCCUCUGCGCAGUAGUAAAACACUCGCAACAGGAGCCCGGCGCGGUCCACUGCCGUAAAACCCCCCAACUUUUUAUAGUUGACCUCGAAUCAGGUAGGACUACCCGCUGAACUUAAGCAUAUCAAUAAGCGGAGGA